rnacentral:rRNA from 1 species
UACGUAGGGUGCAAGCGUUAAUCGGAAUUACUGGGCGUAAAGCGUGCGCAGGCGGUUUUGUAAGUCUGUCGUGAAAUCCCCGGGCUCAACCUGGGAAUUGCGAUGGAGACUGCAAGGCUAGAAUCUGGCAGGAGGGGGGUAGAAUUCCACGUGUAGCAGUGAAAUGCGUAGAGAUGUGGAGGAACACCGAUGGCGCAAGGCAGCCCCCUGGGA